AACCAUCAAGUUCAGCCUUCCCCGCCGUGCAGCACUUCACCUAGAUGCUUGUCGACGAAUUCUAAUUGGCGAUUUAAAGCCCUUCUCGACCAGCCAACAGUCGCCCAGACGAAUUCUAGUGACCUCCGUGGCAUCCCCACAUCGGAGACCCUUCACUGCUGUAGCUGUCCUCUGCUGAUUCCGAGCUUGGGUUGUCAUUCACUGUUGGUCCUCCUGCCGAUUGCUUUUUGCUACAACAGAUCGCGACACCUGCAACAUCGACAAGCUCC
rnacentral:lncRNA from 1 species